UCCAUGUUGAUCUCUGCAUUUUCUCUUGC
rnacentral:sRNA from 1 species